AACCUUUACAAUGCACGCAAGUGUGAUAAGGGGAUUCUGAGUGCUUAUGCUUAGCAUAGGCUUUUGAUAAGACUAAAUAUCUUUUCGAAUAAGUGGUGGGCAAGACUGGUGCCAGCCGCCGCGGUAACACCAGCGCCACGAGUGGCAACCGCGAUUAUUGGGCCUAAAGCGUCCGUAGCCGGUUUAGCAAAUCUUUUGUGAAAUUGUCAGGCUUAACUUGACGAAUUGCAGAAGACACUACUAAACUAGGGACCGGGAGGAGUCAGAAGUAUUCUAGGGGGACCGGUAAAAUGGUAUAAUCCCUAGAGGACUACCGAUGGCGAAGGCAUCUGACCAGAACGGAUCCGACGGUGAGGGACGAAAGCUAGGGGAGCGAACCGGAUUAGAUACCCGAGUAGUCCUAGCCGUAAACGCUGCGAGUUAGGUGUUGCAUAAGCUACGGGCUUGUGCAGUGUCGAAAGGAAGCUGUUAAACUCGCCGCCUGGGAAGUACGGUCGCAAGACUGAAACUUUA
rnacentral:rRNA from 1 species